rnacentral:rRNA from 1 species
AGGAUGUGGAAUUGCACAGACAACCAGGAUGUUGGCUUAGAAGCAGCCACUCAUUAAAAGAGUGCGUAAUAGCUCACUGGUCGAGUGACUCUGCGCCGAAAAUUUAACGGGGCUAAACUAUACACCGAAGCUUGGGAUACAUCUAAUGUAUGGUAGGAGAGCGUUCUGUAUGGGGAGAAGUCGUAGCGAAAGCGGCGGUGGACUAUACAGAAGUGAGAAUGCCGGAAUAAGUAGCGAGAAUUAAGUGAGAAUCUUAAUGGCCGAAAGUCUAAGGUUUUUGGAGGAAGGUUCGUCCGCUCCAAGUAAGUCGGGAGCUAAGGUCAGGCCGAAAGGCGUAGCCGAUGCACAUACGGUUGAUAUUCCGUAACCAUCUGUAAUUUAAGCAAAGGGACACUUCAAAAGGGUGUGACCCGGGCGUUGGUUGACCCGGGCGUAAGGGACCGAAAUUAGAGUAGGGAAGCACACUUAGCUGAAGGCGAGAAAAGCUUUGCGUAUAGAAACAGAUGCCCGUACCGCAAACCGACACAGGUGGACAGGAAGAGAAUUCUAAGGCCAGCGGGAGAAGGGUAGUUAAGGAACUCGGCAAAUUGACUCCGUAACUUCGGAAUAAGGAGUGCUCGAAAGAGCCGCAGAGAAUAGGCCCAGGCGACUGUUUAGCAAAAACACAGGUCUCUGCCAAAUCGAAAGAUGAAGUAUAGGGGCUGACACCUGCCCGGUGCCGGAAGGUUAAGAGGAGGAGUGAGAGCUCCGAAUUGAAGCCCCGGUAAACGGCGGCCGUAACAAUAACGGUCCUAAGGUAGCGAAAUUCCUUGUCGGGUAAGUUCCGACCCGCACGAAUGGUGUAACGAUCUGGGCACUGUCUCAACUACCCACCCGGCGAAAUUGUAGUACCGGUGAAGAUGCCGGUUACCUGCGGCAAGACGGAAAGACCCCAUGGAGCUUUACUGUAGCCUGAUAUUGGGUUUCGGAAAUCUAUGUACAGGAUAGGCGGGAGACUUGGAAACAUGAGCGUCAGCUUGUGUGGAGUCGAUGUUGGGAUACCGCCCUUAGGUUUCUGGAAUUCUAACCUGCGGCCGUGAAACCGGUCGGGGGACAUUGUCAGGUGGGCAGUUUGACUGGGGCGGUCGCCUCCGAAAAGGUAACGGAGGCGCUCAAAGGUUAGCUCAGCACGGACGGAAACCGUGCCUCUGAGUGUAAACGCAAAAGCUAGCCUAACUGCGAGGGUGACGGCCCGAGCAGUAACGAAAGUUGGAGUUAGUGAUCCGGCGGUAUGUGAAUGGAAAUGCCGUCGCUCAACGGAUAAAAGCUACCCUGGGGAUAACAGGCUGAUCUCCCCCAAGAGUCCACAUCGACGGGGAGGUUUGGCACCUCGAUGUCGGCUCAUCGCAUCCUGGGGCUGAAUUCGGUCCCAAGGGUUUGGCUGUUCGCCAAUUAAAGCGGUACGCGAGCUGGGUUCAGAACGUCGUGAGACAGUUCGGUCCCUAUCUGUUGCGGGCGCAGGAAUAUUGAGAGGAGCUGUCCUUAGUACGAGAGGACCGGGAUGGACGUACCGCUGGUGCACCAGUUGUUCUGCCAAGGGCAUAGCUGGGUAGCUAAGUACGGACGAGAUAAACGCUGAAGGCAUCUAAGCGUGAAACUCCCCUCGAGAUAAGUGUUCCCAUCCUUCGGGAGUAAGGCCCCUUGUAGACUACAAGGUUGAUAGGUCAGGAGUGGAAGUGCAGUAAUGUAUGGAGCGGACUGAUACUAAUAGGCCGAGGAGAUCGGAAG